rnacentral:lncRNA from 1 species
UACCAAGUAAUAACUAAUACUAAUUGAAGGAAAAAUUUAACACCCAUAAUAUUACAAAAUUUAUGAUUCUCAACGGGAGUCAAUUGUGAAACUCCAAGCAUCACUAGAGAUGGCAAUGGGUUAGGUAUGGACGUCGAGUAGACUAUUAUCCAUACAUGCCCUAUACUUACCUCGAGGUGGGAUGGAAUAGGUAGAGCUAAACAAGGCAAGUUGGAU